rnacentral:rRNA from 1 species
AUUGAACGCUGGCGGCAGGCCUAACACAUGCAAGUCGAACGAGUGGCGGACGGGUGAGUAAUGGCUGGGCAGCUGCCUGAUGGAGGGGGAUAACUACUGGAAACGGUAGCUAAUCCCGACUCACCUCGGAGGUGCACAGAUGGGAUUAGCUAGUUGGUGGGGUAAAGGCUCACCUAGGCGCCGAUCACUAGCUGGUCUGAGAGGAUGACCAGCAACACGGGAACGGGGAAACUGUCCAGACUCCGAAGGGAGGCAGCAGUGGGGAAUAUUGCGCAAGGGGCGCAAGCCUGAUGCAGCCAUGCCGGGUGUAUGAAGAAGGCCUUCGGGGUGUAAAGUACUUUCAGCGGGGAGGCGUUACCCACAGAAGAAGCACCGGCUAACUCCGUGCCAGCAGCCGCGGUAAUUC